rnacentral:rRNA from 1 species
CCGACACAGGUAGUCAAGAUGAGAAUUCUAAGGUGAGCGAGCGAACUCUCGUUAAGGAACUCGGCAAAAUGACCCCGUAACUUCGGGAGAAGGGGUGCUCUUUGAGGUUCACGCUUCGAAGAGCCGCAGUGAAUAGGCCCAAGCGACUGUUUAUCAAAAACACAGGUCUCUGCUAAACCGUAAGGUGACGUAUAGGGGCUGACGCCUGCCCGGUGCUGGAAGGUUAAGAGGAGUGGUUAGCGCAAGCGAAGCUACGAAUCGAAGCCCCAGUAAACGGCGGCCGUAACUAUAACGGUCCUAAGGUAGCGAAAUUCCUUGUCGGGUAAGUUCCGACCCGCACGAAAGGCGUAACGAUUUGGGCACUGUCUCAACGAGAGACUCGGUGAAAUCAUAGUACCGGUGAAGAUGCCGGUUACCCGCGACAGGACGGAAAGACCCCGUGGAGCUUUACUGUAGCCUGAUAUUGAAAUUCGGUACAGUUUGUACAGGAUAGGUAGGAGCCUUAGAAGCGUGAGCGCUAGCUUACGUGGAGGCAUUGGUGGGAUACUACCCUAAUUGUAUUGGAUUUCUAACCCGCAGCACUUAUCGUGCUGGGAGACAGUGUCAGGCGGGCAGUUUGACUGGGGCGGUCGCCUCCUAAAGAGUAACGGAGGCGCUCAAAGGUUCCCUCAGAAUGGUUGGAAAUCAUUCAUAGAGUGUAAAGGCAUAAGGGAGCUUGACUGCGAGACCUACAAGUCGAGCAGGGUCGAAAGACGGACUUAGUGAUCCGGUGGUUCCGCAUGGAAGGGCCAUCGCUCAACGGAUAAAAGCUACCCCGGGGAUAACAGGCUUAUCUCCCCCAAGAGUUCACAUCGACGGGGAGGUUUGGCACCUCGAUGUCGGCUCAUCGCAUCCUGGGGCUGUAGUCGGUCCCAAGGGUUGGGCUGUUCGCCCAUUAAAGCGGUACGCGAGCUGGGUUCAGAACGUCGUGAGACAGUUCGGUCCCUAUCCGUCGUGGGCGUAGGAAAUUUGAGAGGAGCUGUCCUUAGUACGAGAGGACCGGGAUGGACAUACCUCUGGUGUACCAGUUGUCGUGCCAACGGCAUAGCUGGGUAGCUAUGUAUGGACGGGAUAAGUGCUGAAAGCAUCUAAGCAUGAAGCCCCCCUCGAGAUGAGAUUUCCCAACUUCGGUUAUAAGAUCCCUCAAAGAUGAUGAGGUGAAUAGGUUCGAGGUGGAAGCGUAGCGAUACGUGGAGCUGACGAAUACUAAUCGAUCGAAGACUUAAUCAA